rnacentral:rRNA from 1 species
UACGGGGGGGGCGAGCGUUGUUCGGAAUUACUGGGCGUAAAGCGUGCGUAGACGGUUGCGUAAGUCAGAUGUGAAAGCCCCGGGCUCAACCUGGGAAUUGCAUUUGAGACUGCGUAGCUAGGGUGCGGAAGAGGGAAGCGGAAUUUCCGGUGUAGCGGUGAAAUGCGUAGAUAUCGGAAGGAACACCAGUGGCGAAAGCGGCUUCCUGGUCCAGCACCGACGUUCAGGCACGAAAGCGUGGGGAGCAAACAGG